UUUAAGAAUAUUAUUGUUAAUUUUAAAUUAAAUUUAAUUAAAAAAAAUAAUUAUUUUUUAGUAAAAAUAUGAAAAAAUUAGGUUAAUUAUAGAUUAUUAGUAUUGAGAAAGAAUUAUCUUUAAAAUUUAAAAAGAAGAAGGAAUUUUGUACCUUGUGUAUCAGGGUUUAUUAAAUUAUAUUUAAAUAGUAUUUUCUCGAAUUUAAAAGAGUUAAAAUAAUAUAAUUUUAUUGUAGAAUAAAUAUUUAAAAUAUUAUUUUUGAAAUGAAACGUUAUACGUUUUUAAUAUAUCUAGUUAUUUAAGAAAAAAAUUAAAUUUUAUUAUUAUUAAUAUAUAAUUAAUUUUAUAAUUAUAUAUUAUUAAUAUUUAAUUUAUAAAGGGAUAAGCUUUUAUAAAAAUUAUUAAAAUUUUAUAUUUUUAAAAAAAAUUAUAGGAUUAGUAGUUUCUAUUAUUAAAAUAAUGUUAUAGUUGAUUUUAUUUAAUUAUUAUUUAUAUAAAUUUUAAAUGGUUUAUUAAAUUAAAAAUUAUAAUUUAAUUAAAUUUUGAAAUAAUGAUAAAAUUAGUAAAAUAUAAUAUAAAAAUAGAUAAAAAGAUAAAGGUUAAAUAAAGGAAUUCGGCAAAAGAUUUUUCACCUGUUUAUUAAAAACAUGGCCUUUUGAUAAUAAUUUAAGGUCUGACCUGCCCACUGAGGUAUUUAAAGGCCGCGGUAAAUUGACCGUGCUAAGGUAGCAUAAUCACUAGUUUUUUAAAUGGAAGCUGGAAUGAAUGGUUGGAUGAAAAAAUAACUGUCUCUAUUUAAUUUAGAAUGAAUUUUAUUUUUAAGUAAAAAAGCUUACAUUUAUUUAAAAGACGAGAAGACCCUAUAGAGUUUUAUAAACAUUUAAAUUUUAGGUUUUUAGGAUUAUUAUUUUAUAAUUUAAAUUUUAUUUGAUUGGGGCGAUUGAAAAAUUUAAUUAACUUUUUUUAUGAAUUUUACAUAAAUUAAUGAGAAAUUGAUCCAUAA
rnacentral:rRNA from 1 species